rnacentral:lncRNA from 1 species
GCCAACAUCGACGUCGAGUACGUGUCCCCCGAGGACGCCGACCCCGCCAUGAUCGCCGCCGAGAAGGAGGUGCAGAUGAAGAUGGAGGACAUGCUCUCCAAGCCCGAGAACAUUCGCGAGAAGAUUGUCCAGGGCCGCCUUGACAAGAUGGUCAACGAGAAGGCUCUCCUCAAGCAGGACUACAUCAAGGAUACUUCCAUCACCGUCGAGGAGCUCAUCAAGCAGGCUACCGCGGAGAUCGGCGAGAAGAUCUCCAUCCGCCGCUUCGUCAAGUACAACCUCGGCGAGGGCUUGGAGAAGAAGAACGAGGACUUUGCCGCUGAGGUUGAGGCUCAGACCAAGGCUCUCCAGAAGAAGGCCGAGGAGAAGAAGGAGGAGGCUCCCAAGGAGGAGGAGAAGAAGGAAGAGGCUGCCAAGCCCACCGUCGCCAUCUCCGCCAAGGACGUUAAGGUGCUCCGCGACAAGUCCGGCGCCGGCAUGAUGGACUGCAAGAAGGCCCUUGGUGAGUGCGGUGGUGACAUCGAGGAGGCUGUCGUCUGGCUUCGCAAGAAGGGCAUGGCCUCCGCCGACAAGAAGGCCUCCCGCAUCGCCGCGGAGGGUGCCGUCGCUCAGUACAUCCACGCCGGCGCUCGUCUCGGCGUGCUCGUCGAGGUCAACUGCGAGACUGACUUCGUCGCGCGCGGUGACAAGUUCAAGGAGCUCGUCGCCGACAUUGCCAUGCAGGUCGCCGCCUGCCCUGAUGUCGAGUAUGUGUCCCCCGAGGACGCCGACCCCGCCAUGAUCGCCGCCGAGAAGGAGGUGCAGAUGAAGAUGGAAGAUCUUCAGAGCAAGCCCGAGAACAUCCGCGAGAAGAUUGUCCAGGGCCGCCUCGACAAGAUGGUCAACGAGAAGGCUCUCCUCAAGCAGGACUACAUCAAGGACACUUCCAAGUCUGUCGAGGAGCUCAUUAAGGAGGCCACCGCGGAGAUCGGCGAGAAGAUCUCCAUCCGCCGCUUCGUCAAGUACAACCUCGGCGAGGGCUUGGAGAAGAGGAACGAGGACUUUGCCGCCGAGGUGGCUGCGCAGAUGGGCAAGUAAGUCGUCGAGCGAACAAGGGGGCGAACCCUUUAUUACUCGACGCCUCACAACCACAGCCGCGAAAAUCCUCUUUUCUAGC